GGAGAGGUGGCCGAGUGGACGAUGGCGGCUGUCUUGAAAACAGCAGAGUGAAAGCUCCGGGGGUUCGAAUCCCUCCCUCUCCG
rnacentral:tRNA from 1 species